rnacentral:rRNA from 1 species
ACGUACGAGGCGAGCGUUAUCCGGAAUUAUUGGGCGUAAAGCGCGCGCAGGCGGACUGUUAAGUAGGGCGUGAAAUCUCCCGGCCUAACUGGGAGGGGUCGCCCUAAACUGGCAGUCUUGAGGACAGCAGAGGUAGGUGGAAUUCCUGGUGUAGUGGUGAAAUGCGUAGAGAUCAGGAGGAACACCGGUGGCGAAGGCGGCCUACUGGGCUGUCUCUGACGCUGAGGCGCGAAAGCUCGGGGAGCGAACGGGA